UGUGAGGCUGAUGUGUAGGCAAAUCCGCACAUCAUUAAGGCUGGGCUGUGAUGGGGAGCGAAAAUUGCAGUAGCGAAGGUCAUGAGUUCAGGCUGCCAAGAAAAGCCUCUAGCCAGGUGAAGGUGCCCGUACCGCAAACCGACACAGGUAGGCGAGCAGAGUAUGCUAAGGCGCUCGGAAGAACUCUCGUUAAGGAACUCGGCAAAAUGACCCCGUAACUUCGGGAGAAGGGGUGCCUCGGUAGGGUGAAUAGCCCGAGGGGGCCGCAGUGAAAAGGCCCAAGCGACUGUUUAGCAAAAACACAGGUCUGUGCGAAGCCGUAAGGCGAAGUAUACGGGCUGACGCCUGCCCGGUGCUGGAAGGUUAAGGGGAGUGGUUAGCCGCAAGGCGAAGCUAUGAACCGAAGCCCCAGUAAACGGCGGCCGUAACGAUAACGGUCCUAAGGUAGCGAAAUUCCUUGUCAGGUAAAUUCUGACCCGCACGAAUGGCGUAACGACUUGGGCGCUGUCUCAACGAGAGAUCCGGUGAAAUUUUAAUACCUGUGAAGAUGCAGGUUACCCGCGACAAGACGGAAAGACCCCAUGGAGCUUUACUGCAGCUUGAUAUUGGACUUUGGUACGAUCUGUACAGGAUAGGUGGGAGCCUUGGAAGCCGGAGCGCCAGCUUCGGCGGAGGCAUCGUUGGGAUACCACCCUGAUCGUAUCGGAGUUCUAACCUGGUACCGUGAUCCGGUACAGGGACCGUGUCAGGUGGGCAGUUUGACUGGGGCGGUCGCCUCCUAAAAUGUAACGGAGGCGCCCAAAGGUUCCCUCAGAAUGGUUGGAAAUCAUUCGUAGCGUGCAAAGGCAUAAGGGAGCUUGACUGCGAGACCUACAAGUCGAGCAGGGACGAAAGUCGGGCUUAGUGAUCCGGUGGUACCGCAUGGAAGGGCCAUCGCUCAACGGAUAAAAGCUACCCUGGGGAUAACAGGCUUAUCUCCCCCAAGAGUCCACAUCGACGGGGAGGUUUGGCACCUCGAUGUCGGCCCAUUAAAGCGUACGCGAGCUGGGUUCAGAACGUCGUGAGACAGUUCGGUCCCUAUCUGUCGUGGGCGUAGGAAAUUUGAGAGGAGCUGUCCUUAGUACGAGAGGACCGGGAUGGACGCACCGCUGGUGUACCAGUUGUUCCGCCAGGAGCAUAGCUGGGUAGCUACGUGCGGACGGGAUAAGCGCUGAAAGCAUCUAAGCGUGAAGCCCCCCUCAAGAUGAGAUUUCCCAGUAUGUAAGACCCCUGGAAGACGACCAGGUUGAUAGGUUCGAGGUGGAAGCGCAGCAAUGCGUGGAGCUGACGAAUACUAAUCGGUCGAGGGCUUAUCCA
rnacentral:rRNA from 1 species